rnacentral:rRNA from 1 species
GAUUGGCUCAGAUUGAACGCUGGCGGCAGGCCUAACACAUGCAAGUCGAACGGUAACAGGAAGAAGCUUGCUUCUUUGCUGACGAGUGGCGGACGGGUGAGUAAUGUCUGGGAAACUGCCUGAUGGAGGGGGAUAACUACUGGAAACGGUAGCUAAUACCGCAUAACGUCGCAAAACCAAAGAGGGGGGACCUUCGGGCCUCUUGCCAUCGGAUGUGCCCAGAUGGGAUUAGCUAGUAGGUGGGGUAACGG